rnacentral:rRNA from 2 species
GGGGAAUAUUGCACAAUGGGGGAAACCCUGAUGCAGCGACGCCGCGUGGAGGAAGAAGGUCUUCGGAUUGUAAACUCCUGUUGUUGAGGAAGAUAAUGACGGUACUCAACAAGGAAGUGACGGCUAACUACGUGCCAGCAGCCGCGGUAAAACGUAGGUCACAAGCGUUGUCCGGAAUUACUGGGUGUAAAGGGAGCGCAGGCGGGAAGACAAGUUGGAAGUGAAAUCCAUGGGCUCAACCCAUGAACUGCUUUCAAAACUGUUUUUCUUGAGUAGUGCAGAGGUAGGCGGAAUUCCCGGUGUAGCGGUGGAAUGCGUAGAUAUCGGGAGGAACACCAGUGGCGAAGGCGGCCUACUGGGCACCAACUGACGCUGAGGCUCGAAAGUGUGGGUAGCAAACAGGAUUAGAUACCCUGGUAGUCCACACCGUAAACGAUGAUUACUAGGUGUUGGAGGAUUGACCCCUUCAGUGCCGCAGUUAACACAAUAAGUAAUCCACCUGGGGAGUACGACCGCAAGGUUGAAACUCAAAGGAAUUGACGGGGGCCCGCACAAGCAGUGGAGUAUGUGGUUUAAUUCGACGCAACGCGAAGAACCUUACCAAGUCUUGACAUCCCUUGACGAUGCUGGAAACAGUAUUUCUCUUCGGAGCAAGGAGACAGGUGGUGCAUGGUUGUCGUCAGCUCGUGUCGUGAGAUGUUGGGUUAAGUCCCGCAACGAGCGCAACCCUUAUGGUCAGUUACUACGCAAGAGGACUCUGGCCAGACUGCCGUUGACAAAACGGAGGAAGGUGGGGAUGACGUCAAAUCAUCAUGCCCUUUAUGACUUGGGCUACACACGUACUACAAUGGCGUUAAACAAAGAGAAGCAAGACCGCGAGGUGGAGCAAAACUCAGAAACAACGUCCCAGUUCGGACUGCAGGCUGCAACUCGCCUGCACGAAGUCGGAAUUGCUAGUAAUCGUGGAUCAGCAUGCCACGGUGAAUACGUUCCCG